UUUAAAGUAACAAUAACAUUUUGUAACAGUUAUCAAGAUUGAUAAUAAGUUGCCAUCGCUAGUCUUAUGUAUAUAUAAUAAUUAAUCACUAUAAAAUUUUACAGAUGUUUUUCUACGUUCAUAACUGAUUUCAAUUUUCUGUUCUCUGGCAGAUAUAGAAUAAUCAAUUGCGUGACUUUAAAAUAGAAUAAUCAGUUAUCACCUAAAAUCGAACAGUAAAAAAAUACAACUAUUAUCAUUGGAUUAUUGUCAUAGCAUAGUAAAAUUUUGAAUGUUAUAAAAAUACUUAGUUUAGUCAGAUAAAUUAUGUGUUAGCAAUUAAUUAUUAUUAUACUUUGGUUAUAAUUAUUCACAGUUAUUAUUUAGGUAUUGAAUGUUAAAAUUCAAUAACUUAAAUAUGGAAGAACCAUUUUUAAGUCAAUUAUUGAGAGUUCAUAAAACAAAUGCAAAAAAAAUUAAUAACAUGAAAAGAAAAAAAUCUAAGUCCAAAUUAGCUAAGAAUUAUUCUUCUUCCCAAGAAGUUACUACAUCAAAUGAAGUAAAACAAGAUAACAUUCAAAAUAUUUGUUGUACCAAAAAAGAAUCAAUCAAACUAGAAAAAGUACCUGAAUAUAUUUACUUUUGUGAUCCAAAUGGGAAAAUUCAUAAAGACAUGCUACAAUACAUUAGUAUUAAAAAUAAAAAAAUAAACUAAAUAAGUUUUUUUACUCUUAUCUAUUAUUGUAAAUGUAUAGUAAAAUUUUCUGUAUCAAAUAUGUUUUAUAUUAUAUUAAAUGACAGUAAUUUAUAUAAUUAUCAAAAUUUGUUUAAAUAGUUUUAUUUUCAAUUAUAAAUAUUAUAAGGUCA